rnacentral:rRNA from 1 species
AGUUUGAUCCUGGCUCAGGACGAACGCUGGCGGCGUGCUUAACACAUGCAAGUCGAACGAUGAAGCCCUUCGGGGUGGAUUAGUGGCGAACGGGUGAGUAACACGUGGGCAAUCUGCCCUUCACUCUGGGACAAGCCCUGGAAACGGGGUCUAAUACCGGAUAACACUCUGUCCCUCAUGGGGCGGGGUUAAAAGCUCCGGCGGUGAAGGAUGAGCCCGCGGCCUAUCAGCUUGUUGGUGGGGUAAUGGCCUACCAAGGCGACGACGGGUAGCCGGCCUGAGAGGGCGACCGGCCACACUGGGACUGAGACACGGCCCAGACUCCUACGGGAGGCAGCAGUGGGGAAUAUUGCACAAUGGGCGAAAGCCUGAUGCAGCGACAANCCGCGAGGGAUGACGGCCUUCGGGUUGUAAACCUCCCUCAGCAGGGAAGAAGCGAAA